rnacentral:lncRNA from 1 species
GCGGAUCGCGGGGAGUGAAGGCUGCGCCGCCGAGCCUGAGUUUCGCUCUCUCUAGAUUAAAUCUGCGCUUCGCAGUCCCCCUUCUUCCAUCCCCCGGGUCUGGAGGGGUCCCUACAGAUCUUAAAAUGACCACACCGCGCCCUCCACCCCAGAUUAACCUUUAAAGACUCAUGUGGCCUGAGGAAGAAGUCCAGAAGAGAAGAAAGAGGAGACAGGGAUGGCUCUUUCUCAAGCUGGAGUACAGUGGUGCGAUCUUGGCUCACUGCAGCCUCUGCCUCCCGGGUUCAAGUGAUUUUCCUGCCUCAGCCUCCCGAGUAGCUGGGACUACAGGUGCCCGCCAUUUCACCACGUUGCCCAGGCUGGUCUCGAACUCUUGACCUCAGGGAAGGUUGACAUUCAGGGACGUGGCCAUCGAAUUCUCUCAGGAGGAGUGGAAAUGCCUGGACCCUGCUCAGAGGGCUUUGUACAGGGACGUGAUGUUGGAGAACUACAGGAACCUGGUCUCCCUGGAUGUCUCUCCUACACAUAUGAUCAAGGAAUUACCA